rnacentral:rRNA from 1 species
UACACUCCUACGGGAGGCAGCAGUGGGGAAUUUUGGACAAUGGGCGAAAGCCUGAUCCAGCCAUGCCGCGUGUGUGAAGAAGGCCUUCGGGUUGUAAAGCACUUUUGUCCGGAAAGAAAUCCUUGGCUCUAAUACAGUCGAGGGAUGACGGUACCGGAAGAAUAAGCACCGGCUAACUACGUGCCAGCAGCCGCGGUAAUACGUAGGGUGCGAGCGUUAAUCGGAAUUACUGGGCGUAAAGCGUGCGCAGGCGGUUUGCUAAGACCGAUGUGAAAUCCCCGGGCUCAACCUGGGAACUGCAUUGGUGACUGGCAGGCUAGAGUAUGGCAGAGGGGGGUAGAAUUCCACGUGUAGCAGUGAAAUGCGUAGAGAUGUGGAGGAAUACCGAUGGCGAAGGCAGCCCCCUGGGCCAAUACUGACGCUCAUGCACGAAAGCGUGGGGAGCAAACAGGAUUAGAUACCCUGGUAGUCCCAUG